UUAAUACUCCUUCCAUCCGGAAUUACUUGUCGCAGAAAUGGAUAAAAAUGGAUGUAUCUAGAACUAAAAUAUGUCUAAGAUACAUCCAUUUCUCUGACAAGUAUUUCCAGAUGGAGGGAGAAGUAA
rfam:Triticum aestivum genome assembly, contig: Triticum_aestivum_CS42_TGACv1_scaffold_623297_7DS